AACGAACGCUGGCGGCAGGCUUAACACAUGCAAGUCGAACGGUAAGGCCCUUCGGGGUACACGAGUGGCGAACGGGUGAGUAACACGUGGGUGAUCUGCCCUGCACUUCGGGAUAAGCCUGGGAAACUGGGUCUAAUACCGGAUAGGACCACUGCCUGCAUGGGUGGUGGUGGAAAGCUUUUGCGGUGUGGGAUGGGCCCGCGGCCUAUCAGCUUGUUGGUGGGGUGAGGGCCUACCAAGGCGACGACGGGUAGCCGGCCUGAGAGGGUGACCGGCCACACUGGGACUGAGAUACGGCCCAGACUCCUACGGGAGGCAGCAGUGGGGAAUAUUGCACAAUGGGCGCAAGCCUGAUGCAGCGACGCCGCGUGAGGGAUGACGGCCUUCGGGUUGUAAACCUCUUUCAGCACCGACGAAGCGCAAGUGACGGUAGGUGCAGAAGAAGGACCGGCCAACUACGUGCCAGCCGCCGCGGUAA
rnacentral:rRNA from 1 species